UCCACAGUGGGGGCCAGUGGGGGGCAUGUGUCCCCCCACUGCUGGUGUUUCCACAGAGAGGAGGGAGCUUCGGCUCCACUCCCCGGGAGAGAAAUACAUGACAGAAACACUUCUGCCCCUCUCCACUGCUCCUUCUUUCCUCCUGGAAGCAGAAGUAACUUUCUCUGGCAGAAAAUUCCAGCCUUGUGAGUUCCACUCUCUAAAGUCAGAACCGAGGAAACUCAAAUUCCUAGCUUCCUUUGCAAUAAGGGUGUAAGCUGGUGACCGAGGCUUUGCCAUUUGGAGACUUUGAUUCAGUGGUGAGCAGCUUGAAAGAGGAAAGUCUAUGCUAUCUUCUUAAUUUUUGGAAACAGCAGAAGGCAACUGACUUGGGAGCCUGCAAGAGUGCCACAGUUGAGUUUCAUGCAUAGAAGUAUCAUCAGUUGGCCAUCAGCUGUAGGCGUUCCCUCCUUGUGGUUUUAGGAAUUGUCCCCAGACCCCUGACCCCUGAGUCUUGUUUUACGGGUACUCCAAAAAAAAUCUAUGAGCUGCCCAAUGCCUUUUAUAAUAAAACUAAUGAAUCGUUGAACACUA